UGAGGCAGGAGAAUGGCGUGAACCCAGGAGGCAGAGCUUGCAGUGAGCCGAGAUUGCACCACUGCACUCCAGCCUGGGUGACAGAGCGAGACUCCGUCUCAAGAAAAAAAGAGAACCUGGGUCAGGGCUGCUGGAGAGAAGUCAGAGGCAACAGCCUCAGAAUUGAGCCUGGAAUUUCUAUCUCUAUCUGGUGGCAGCAGCUCCUUACCGAGGCCCCAUUUGGCACCUGCUCUGAAACUGGAACUGGAAGCUAGAAUUUGGCGGGGAUGACCUGAGUACAGCCCCGUCACCCUUGCCACUCAGGGCUGCCUUCUCUGCAGAGGCAGUGGGGUCUCUGCUGGCUCUCAGUGCUGGGGAGGGUCUGCAGUUUCAGGGAUUUUACAGCAUGGAGAGCCCUGAGGGUCUUUACACUUCGGUAUAAGAUACUUUUCAGUCAGCUCUGGACACGGUUGCAAAGUACAUCUUCACAGCCCUGAGAACUCAGGAGGAUAUACUAUAUUUGGGAGUCUCCCCAAAUUCUGAGGCUUACCAAGCCUGAACAAAUUGUUGAGUGGGUGAGUGGCUCUCUUCAACAAGUGUAAGGCUGACCUCAGUGAUGAUGGCACAGAGAAUUAGAGGUUAUGAGAGUUUAUUCCAAACAGGAAUGAGAAAAGAGUUUAUUUUAAUUUAUUUUUUAUUUUUCUUGUAGAGACAAAUCUUGCUCUAUUGCCCAGGCUGGAAUGCAGUGGUACAAUCAUAGCUCAUUGCAGCCUUGAACUCCUAGGCUCAAGUGAUCCUCCUACCUCAGCUUCCCAAGUAGCUGGGACCACAGGUGCACACCACCAUGCCUGGUUAAUUUUUAUUAUUUUGUGUAGAGACGGAGUCUUGCUAUGUUGCCCAGGCAGAUCUUGAAUUACUGGCUUCGAGUGAUCCUCCUGCCUUGGCCUCCCAAAAUGCUAGGAUUACUGGCAUGAGCCAAGAGAAGAGUUUUAAAGUAAAAAUAGAGAUUAGAGGAGGAGUGGAAAGGAUGACAGGAGUUGAGGAAGAAAAAGGGAGAAAAGAGGAGGAAAGCAGAAGGGAACAGGAGAAGUGAGGGGAAGGAAAUAAUGCAUAAGAAAUGGGAAAAGGAAAAAGGGGAAGGAAUGGGAAAAAAAGCCCAGAAGGCUCUUUCCAAGCUCACUUUCAGCAGAAAUAUGAAAACUUUCCCUCAGGUCUGUACAUCUUGAGUUCCCCAUAAUACACAGCCUCCUGAGCUCCACCUGGCUGAGAACCAAGCAGCACCCCCAAAGGUUGUGCAGCACUUUGAGGUGCAGUUUGGCUCAGAAACACAAGAACAUGGAUAAGGAAAGGUUUGAGCAGUCCAUGGAAUCCAUUCCCUGUCCCAAAUUGAGAGGUCUUUAUAACCUACCAGAGCCUCACGCUGAGGAAAAGGAACAUUUUCAUCCUUUGCAGAUCUGUGAAUGCCAGACACUGCUGCCUCUCUCCUCUGCCCUUCCUGGCUGUUUGCUGACCUUUUGCAUUCACACUGGGAGUGUACAUGUGCUGUUGAUAUGUAAGCAUCACAAAUGUCUAGAGUAUACAUUAGUAUCACUUAAAGAUGUUUUGUCUCCACCAUAGGAAACAGGUGAUGUUUCUGUUUUCUGUAUCUUUUGUUAGAUUAUGAAACCAAAUCAGAUAUCAAGGAGUUGGUUCCAAAGCAGGAAGUAUCAGAAGAAACAGAGAUGCACUGAGCCACCUCCAGAGCACUCUGGAAUAAUGAUUCCCAAGAAUGCAAGAUUGGAGCAUUCAAAAAUUGGGAAGACAGUUUGAAUAUUCAUCAGAGAGAUUCAUCAGGGAGAUGCUGAGGACGAGGACUAGAAAUAUAAGGCCAGCAGAAAUCAAGGAUAUAAAAAUCUCCCUAGAGAAGGAAAGCCAGAAAGCUGCCAUCCUAAAGAACAAGAGCAAAGUGAUAGAAGCUGUUAAAGGAUCUGCUUCAUUGAAGGCAAUGAGACUAACAAAAAUUUGAGAAGGGCCAAUAUCAGAUAUGGAUAAUAUCUGAUACUGACCUAGACUGAAGACCAGACACACAAGCAUUUCCCUCAGCACCAUGACAAUCACAGCUAAAGCAAUAAGCUUGUUUGUUACGUAGAUAGAAAAGACUGGACCUGACUAUAUUGUUGGAUUUAUUGCUAGCUCUGGGUGGUUUAAACAAUUCAAGAAUUGUUAUUCAUUACACAAUUGUGAAAGUGAGUGCCAAGUCUAUGAGUGCUGAUGUGAAGGCAGCUGAAGAAUUUUUGGAAACUCUAGAUAAGCUGAUUGUGGAGGAAAAUUACUUGCCAGAGCAAAUCUUUAAUAUGGAUCAAGCCUCCCUAUUCUGGAAAAAGAUGCCUGAAGGGACUUUCAUCCAUAAAGAGGCCAAGUCAAUGGCAGGUUUCAAGGCUUUGAAGGACUGGAUAACAAUGUUUGGGGGCAAUGUUGCUGGCCACAAAUUAAAACCCUUUGUGAUUUGACACAGCGAGAACCCCAGGGCCUUCAAGCAUAUCAAGCACACACUGCCAGUUUACUACAGGAGCAAUAACAAGUCAUGGAUGACCCAGCUUCUCUUCCAAUAUGCCCUCCUGAAUUGCUAUGCCAGUGAAAUGGAGAAGUACUGUUUGGAGAAUAACAUACCUUUCAAGAUUUUGCUUAUUGUUGAUAAUGCUCCUGUACAUCCUUUUAUUGGUGAUCUUUAUCUUAAUAUCAAACUGGUGUUUCUUCCUCUAAACAUCAACUCUUUGAUCCAACCAGUGGAUCAAGGAGUUAGAGCAGUUUUUAAGGCUCAGUACUUAAGGAGGACGUUUCCCCAGGCUAUUUCUGCUAUUAUCUGAGGGAGACACUGAGAAGACACUAAUGCAUUUCUGGGAGGAUUACAGCAUCUAAGACUGCAUCAAGAACCUUGCUUGGGCUUAGGGUGAUGUCACCAAUGAGUGUAUGAAUGGCAUCUGGAAGGAGACACUCGAGGUUUGUUCAUGACUUCAAAGGAUUUGCCACAGAUGACCAGGUUGCAAAAAUCCACAAGGCUGUGGUUGAGAUGGCAAACAGCUUUAACCUGGGUGUGAAUGAGGACGACAUUGAUGAGCUCCUAGAGGUGGUUCACUAAUGAGUUGUGGGAAAUGGAACAGGGACACAGCUGAAGAAGAGGCAAGAGAAAACAAAACUGCAGAAAACCACCAUCAAGAAAAUUCGCAGUAGGGAGUUUAGCAGAAGCUUUUGCAGACCUCAAGAAACUCCUCAAAAAGUUUGGGCCGGGCGCGGUGGCUCACGCCUGUAAUCCCAGCACUUUGGGAGGCCAUGGUGGGAAGAUCACGAGGUCAAGAGUUCAAGACCAGCCAGACUGACAUAGUGAAACCCCAUCUCUACUAAAAAUACAAAAAAAAAAAAAAAAAAAAAGGCUGGGUGUGGUGGUAC